rnacentral:tRNA from 1 species
UGGCCCGUCGUCCAAUGGCAGGACACCGCUCUUUGGCAGCGGCGAUGAUGGUUCGAAUCCAUCCGGGCCAA